UACGUAGGGUGCAAGCGUUUAUCCGGAAUUAUUGGGCGUAAAGAGCUCGUAGGCGGUUUGUCGCGUCUGCUGUGAAAACUGGAGGCUCAACCUCCAGCCUGCAGUGGGUACGGGCAAACUAGAGUGGCGGUAGGGGAGACUGGAAUUCCUGGUGUAGCGGUGAAAUGCGCAGAUAUCAGGAAGAACACCAACGGCGAAGGCAGCUCGCUGGGACGGAACUGACGCUAAGGCGCGAAAGCGUGGGGAGCGAACGAGG
rnacentral:rRNA from 1 species